rnacentral:rRNA from 1 species
AUUGAACGCUGGCGGCAGGCCUAACACAUGCAAGUCGAGCGGUAACAGGAAGAAGCUUGCUUCUUUGCUGACGAGUGGCGGACGGGAGAGUAAUGUCUGGGAAACUGCCUGAUGGAGGGGGAUAACUACUGGAAACGGUAGCUAAUACCGCAUAACGUCGCAAGACCAAAGAGGGGGACCUUCGGGCCUCUUGCCAUCGGAUGUGCCCAGAUGGGAUUAGCUAGUUGGUGGGGUAACGGCUCACCUAGGCGACGAUCCCUAGCUGGUCUGAGAGGAUGACCAGCCACACUGGAACUGAGACACGGUCCAGACUCCUACGGGAGGCAGCAGUGGGGAAUAUUGGACAAUGGGCGCAAGCCUGAUGCAGCCAUGCCGCGUGUAUGAAGAAGGCCUUCGGGUUGUAAAGUACUUUCAGCGGGGAGGAAGGGAGUAAAGUUAAUACCUUUGCUCAUUGACGUUACCCGCAGAAGAAGCACCGGCUAACUCCGUG